rnacentral:rRNA from 1 species
GAUUCAUAAUAACUAAACGAAUCGCAUGGCCUUGCGCCGGCGAUGGUUCAUUCAAAUUUCUGCCCUAUCAACUUUCGAUUGUAAGAUAGAGGCUUACAAUGGUCUUAACGGGUAACGGGGAAUUAGGGUUCUAUUCCGGAGAGGGAGCCUGAGAAACGGCUACCACAUCCAAGGAAGGCAGCAGGCGCGCAAAUUACCCAAUGCUGAUACAGCGAGGUAGUGACAAUAAAUACUGAUACGGGGCUCUCUCGGGUCUCGUAAUUGGAAUGAGUACAAUCUAAAUCCCUUAACGAGGAACAAUUGGAGGGCAAGUCUGGUGCCAGCAGCCGCGGUAAUUCCAGCUCCAAUAGCGUAUAUUAAAGUUGUUGCCGUUAAAAAGCUCGUAGUUGAACCUUGGACCUGGCUGAUCUGUCCUCCUAAUCGAGCGCACGGAUUCGGUCGGGUCUUUCCUUCUGGGGAGCCCUAUGCCCUUCACUGGGUGUAGUGGGGAACCAGGACUUUUAC